CGAUCAGUCCAAAAGGCGUCAUGUUGGAUGUUUGUGGUCCUCGCGUGUGACGGAGGAGAAACAACUCAACGCUGGUCCUCAAGAACCGCCCAAUCAGCCUCAUCAUCAGCUGAUUGACUCCAGGAAUAUUCGGUGACAGCCGUGGCCCAGACCUGCAUCCAAUGUUUUUGGAUCUAGAAGAUGAGGCGCUGAAGGGUUUCACUUACAGAAGAAGGAAGAGGAGGAGGAAGAAGAAGAGGAGGAAGAGAUGGUUUUUGCAAAUGCAGAAAACAAGUCAAGACAUCACCCAAAACGGACAAAGUCAGAAGCAAGGCUCGUCAUUUUGAAGCGUACUUGUCUG